rfam:Entamoeba histolytica HM-1:IMSS scf_1104750518089 genomic scaffold, whole genome shotgun sequence.
UAUCUGGUUGAUCCUGCCAGUAUUAUAUGCUGAUGUUAAAGAUUAAGCCAUGCAUGUGUAAGUAUAAAGUCCAAGAAGGAUGAAACUGCGGACGGCUCAUUACAACAGUCACAGUCUCUUUGGUUAGUGAAAUACAAGGAUAACUUUGUGAAUAAUAAAGAUAAUACUUGAGACGAUCCUUUUUGUAGCAAUACAAAAGGGCUAUUCAAUUUUCGAAUUGGAUAGGAAGGAUAUUCAUCAUGAAAAUGGAUACCACCACAAUUGUAGAAUAUUUCAAAUAUCUAACAAGCAACCAAUGAGAGUGUCUGAUCUAUCAAUUUGUUGGUAGUAUCGAGGACUACCAAGAUUAUAACGGAUAACGAGAAAUAAGGGUUUGACAUCGGAGAGGGAGCUUUCAAGAUGGCUACCACUUCCAAGGAAGGCAGCAGGCGCGAAAAUUGCCCACUUUCAACUCGAAGAGGCAGUGACGACAAAUAACUCUGUAAAUGCUUUUAGUAUUUAUCGAAGGAAUGAGUAAGAUGUAAAUAGUCUUACAAAAUCAAUUGGAGGGCAAGUCUGGUGCCAGCAGCCGCGGUAAUUCCAGCUCCAAUAGUGUAUAUUAAAGUUGUUGUGAUUAAAACGCUCGUAGUUGAAUUAAGAGCUGAUAUUCAAAUGAGACCAGGAGUGUCUAACAUUUUUGGAAUUAUUUGGGUAUAAUAUCAAAGAAGGAGUUUAGUCAGAAAUGGCUAAACAUUACUUUGAAUAAAAUAAAGUGUUUAAAGCAAAACAUACGUUAAUGAAUAAUGAAGCAUGGGACAAUAAUAAGGGGAUGAGCAAUCAUUUCGAGAGAAGGAUUAAAAGGAAUAAUUGGGGUGAUUCAGAAAAAAACGGGAGAGGUGAAAAUUCAUGAUCGUUUUAAGAUGCACGAGAGCGAAAGCAUUUCACUCAAUUAUAUUCAUUAAUCAAGAACGAAAGUUAGGGGAUCGAAGACGAUCAGAUACCGUCGUAGUCCUAACUAUAAACGAUGUCAACCAAGGAUUAAAUGAACAAAAGAAAUGAGAAGAUUCUGAUGAUCGAUGAUCAGAAGAGUUUUAUUAUUUCAAUAUUACCUUAUUUAGCACUUAAAGAGAAAUCUUGAGUUACUAGACUUCAGGGGGAGUAUGGUCACAAGGCUGAAACUUAAAGGAAUUGACGGAAGGGCACACCAGGAGUGGAGCCUGCGGCUUAAUUUGACUCAACACGGGAAAACUUACCAAGACCGAACAGUAUUAGGAAUGACAGAUUAAGGGUUCUUUCAUGAUUUAUUGGCGAGUGGUGCAUGGCCGUUCUUAGUUGGUGGAGUGAUUUGUCGGGUUAAUUCCGGUAACGAACGAGACUGAAACCUAUUAAUUAAUUAAUCAUCCAUGAGGUGAUUAUAUUCAGCAAUGGAUACGUGAUCACACGAUUACUUAAAGGGACACAUUUCAAUUGUUUUUCAUUAAUCGUGUGUUAAAGUAUUACUUUAACUGCUUUUAAUGGGAAAAAAAGAAAAAGGAAGCAUUCAGCAAUAACAGGUCUGUGAUGCCCUUAGACAUCUUGGGCUGCACGCGCGCUACAAUGAAGUUACUAGAGAGUAAUUAAUUGAGAUAUCGUAUAAGAUGAGACUUUGUUUCAUUUUGUAUGUAAUAUCACAAUGUACCGAUAAUUAAAAUUGGAGGAAAACUCAAAAGAACGUACUUGACCGGGAUAAAUGAUUGGAAUUAUUUGUUUUGAACGAGGAAUUCCUUGUAAUAUCGUGUCAUCAACGCGAGAUGAAUACGUCCCUGCCCUUUGUACACACCGCCCGUCGCUCCUACCGAUUGAAUAAAGAGGUGAAAUUCUAGGAUUUUUGUUGUUUACAACGAGAAGAAUGGAUUUAAAUCUCCUUAUUUAGAGGAAGGAGAAGUCGUAACAAGGUUUCCGUAGGUGAACCUGCGGAAGGAUCAUUA